UGGGCACUGUGUCCAUGCUCGGUGCUAGGGGAGUUCAGAAGAGCCCAUCAGAUGCCCUGGAACUGGAGAUAUGGACACUUGUAAACACCGUGUGGGUGCCGGGAAUCAAACCCACAAGAGUCACCCGCAGGAGCAGCCAGUGGAUUUUUAAGUGUGCAGCACUCCUGGUCAUGCCAUGUCUGACGUGGGACUCUUUGAAGACCUCCAGAGCAUAGACGUGCUUAGCAUGUCCAUUGCAGUACACACAUCCCAAAGGAGUAAAUGAGAAAUGCCUGUCUCUAGAACUGUAAAACAACAUAGCCAGGACCAAAACUGUUAGGUUGAAGAGCAUAUACCUUACUAAGAGCAUCACCAGCCUGAUCUUCUGAGGGCUCAACUCCAUUUGCAGUGGUUUUUUUUUUUUCCUUCCACUAAAGCUUGGCUUAUUUGGGACAGUUCUCCCUGUGUAGCUCUGGCUGUUCUAGAACUUGCUAUGUGACCCAGGAUGGCCUCAAUCCUUAACGAUUUGCCUACCUCAGCCUCACAGGUGUUUAGGAUUACAUGGGUAAGCUGCUGUUAAACCUGAGAGUCAAGAGACCAUUUCAAGACUCCCAGAAAAUUGCCACAAGUCACAUUUUGCCGAAGCUUACUAAGGCAAAUCCUAAAGGCUACCCAUUCAGGUUCAAUCAGGCAAGCAUCUAUCCUGCCGUACUUCCCGCCUGCAUACCUCCUAUGUCCAAUCAAUUACAUCGGUGCAGUUGAGGGGUGCGAAAACAUGUGGCUGGUUAUCUCACAAACCCCCAGGAAUGACAGGAAGUCAUCGGCCCUUGAGCAAGUGGGGCUUACAGGUUAACUUACACCCCUACACCACCACACCCAGUUUAAAAGACCUGAUUUAAAGAAACGAAUUUUUGCCCGUCAGAAGAUUGUAGCUGACAUCUGGUGGUGGUUUCAUUUGCAUGUUCCUUGUUGGUGGUAAGCGUGAACAUUUUGAUACGUCGAUCAGCUACUACAGUUUCUUCCAUCUUUGUCUCAUUUCUGCUCCCCGGAUGUCACGACGUGAACUGCUCUGCUCAUGAAUGCCUGUCUAUCCACACUCAUGAGCCCACUGACAAAUGAAUCUCCCCUCCCUCAAGUUACUUUUCCUAGGCAUUUGGUCUCAGGAACAUAAAAGCCUGAUACAGUGAUAGCUCUUUAUCCUAGAUCCUCCAUGGACUUGCACAGAUUUGUGGUGACCAUCCUUUAGAUUGUCCUUGUCAUCUUGGAAGUCCUUCCUUAUCCCCCCCGCUUUCUAGAUCACAUUCUUUGACUUUUUACAAUGUAAUUUUUUCUAUUGAUUCUUUCAGAGUUUCACAUUAUGCACCCCAACCCCACUCAUUUCC
rnacentral:lncRNA from 1 species